GCCUUGCGCUAUCAGAUGAGCCUAGGUCGGAUUAGCUAGUUGGUGGGGUAAUGGCUCACCAAGGCGACGAUCCGUAACUGGUCUGAGAGGAUGAUCAGUCACACUGGAACUGAGACACGGUCCAGACUCCUACGGGAGGCAGCAGUGGGGAAUAUUGGACAAUGGGCGAAAGCCUGAUCCAGCCAUGCCGCGUGUGUGAAGAAGGUCUUCGGAUUGUAAAGCACUUUAAGUUGGGAGGAAGGGUUGUAGAUUAAUACUCUGCAAUUUUGACGUUACCGACAGAAUAAGCACCGGCUAACUCUGUGCCAGCAGCCGCGGUAAUACAGAGGGUGCAAGCGUUAAUCGGAAUUACUGGGCGUAAAGCGCGCGUAGGUGGUUAGUUAAGGUUUGAAUGGUGAAAUCCCCGGGCUCAACCUGGGAACUGCAUUCAAAACUGACUGA
rnacentral:rRNA from 1 species